CCUACGGGAGGCAGCAGUGAGGAAUAUUGGUCAAUGGACGCAAGUCUGAACCAGCCAUGCCGCGUGCAGGAAGACGGCUCUAUGAGUUGUAAACUGCUUUUGUACGAGGGUAAACGCAGAUACGCGUAUCUGUCUGAAAGUAUCGUAAGAAUCAGCAUCGGCUAACUCCGUGCCAGCCGCCGCGGUAAUACGGAGGAUUCAAGCGUUAUCCGGAUUUAUUGGGUUUAAAGGGUGCGUAGGCGGUCGGAUAAGUGAGAGGUGAAAUCCCGAGGCUCAACUUCGGAAUUGCCGCUGAUACUGGUCGGAUGGAGAGUAGUUGCGGUAGGCGGAAUGUAUGGGGUAGCGGUGAAAUGCUUAGAGA
rnacentral:rRNA from 1 species